rnacentral:pre_miRNA from 1 species
GUAGUAUUCCCUCCGUCCCAAAAUUAUUGUCUUACAUUUGUUUAGAUACGGAUGUAUCUAACACUAAAAUGUAACUAGAUACAUCCGUAUUUAGACAAAUUUAAGACAAGAAUUUUGGGACGGAGGGAGUUUAAA